CUUAAGAUGUCAAGAGACUGUUGCUUGAAAGAAAUAUUUAAACAUUAGUUGUUUACACAACAGUGUAUGCUUUUCCUGCGCUUGCUGACCCCGAAUGCAUAUUCCCUGAAGGACUGAGGCAAAAGAUAGAGAAAGCAGAAACUGUCUGCAUGAAGCUUUGGAUAAGAACCAAAGAAUUCCUAAUCCUGUGUCAUUGCUUGCAUUUUCCUCUUCUGUCUAAUUUCUCUCUUCUAUGUGUUCUCUACAAGACAGUCACCAAAAGCAAUUUCUAUUCUUGUUUUUGCCACUUCACUAUUGCACCUUAAAAAUAUGAGACAAUCUCUAGAGAGAAUGUAAAGACAGGUCAGGCUUGCAUCUAUUCAUGUUCACCAUUUUAAUCUUAGUUUUUAAAUAUUUUUUUGAGUCUUCUGUUACAUAUAGAAGGGCACUCCUAUCUUCUAAGUCUCAGAAACAUAAUUAUCUCCCUACAGAUUCCAUGAAAGGGAAAAAUCCCAAGAAUCCAGAGAGCUUAAGAGAAAAAGAGACUGGUAAAAGAAAAGAUGUGAAGUCUCCUGCAACCUUAAAGGAAAAAGACUCUUCAAAACAAAAAGAACCUAAGGCUUCAACUAAUCCUAAGGAAAAAGCUGCAGUGAAAAAGGAGGGGGAGAAGAAAGUUUCAGGGAACAGCACAUGAAAACGUCAGAAGCUGAGGAUGAUAUUGAGAGGAAGCUCUUCAGGUCUUUCACCACACGUGCCUAAAGAUGAAAUGCAUUAAUGCAGCAGAUGUACCUCAUCUACAUUUGACUGAAAUUUUAUUCUUUCCAGCACUGUCGAUGGAAGAUUUGUUCUCCUGGGAUUUUAGGACUUAUAGUACUUUAAAGAGACUAGUUUUCAGUGCUAUCAUGCAAGAUUGCUGUUUCAAUAACUUACAUUUCCCAGAACAUUUCUAUUGUUUAAGUGACAAACUGGGAAACAGAAAGAUUGGGAUCAUUACUGGUGAUUCCUAAAGGCAUGCAUCUCAGAUUGAAGCUGAAACAACUCCUCUUAUUAAAAGUAAUUUUAAAAUGUUGGAAAUGUCUGUACUUCUUUGCUACUUCUAUUAUAUUUGCAUCAUGAUAAAGUUUCUCCCUUCCCUCCUCUCUUCUACUUUUUGGUUUUCCCUGUUAUAUAAAGUACUCUUGAACUGUCAGUUAAAAAUAAAUCUUAAAAAACAAGUUGUUCUAGACA
rnacentral:lncRNA from 1 species